UCUUCAGUAACGUCAGUGUUGAGCCCUUGUAACCGAGUGCACAGCUGUCAUUCAGGAGCCGAGCCCGCCCCCAGAGUGACCUUCCUCAGCGGACACGCCCCGUCCACCUGUUCCACAGGUGCGCCCGGCAAGAUGGCGGCGGGGCGAGUUUCUGCGGCGUGAGGACGCCGAAAUGAGUGUCCUGUCUGUUUGAGCGUGCUCUCGAAGUUUUAGAAGUCUGCAUUCAGCGUUCUUAUACUACCUUACAUGUGAGAAAAACAUGUCAAGAACGAACCUCCAGUUAUGAAAGUG